rnacentral:snRNA from 1 species
GUUGCUCUUUUGAAAAAAAACUAAUACAUCCCGUAAAAUUGGAACGAUACAAAGAACAUGAAUAUGGUCUAUGCAAGGAUGACACAAAUAGAGAAAUGUUCGAAUUUUUU